GACGAACGCUGGCGGCGUGCUUAACACAUGCAAGUCGAACGGAAAGGCCCUGCUUUUGUGGGGUGCUCGAGUGGCGAACGGGAGAGUAACACGUGAGUAACCUGCCCUUGACUUUGGGAUAACGUCAGGAAACUGGGGCUAAUACCGGAUAGGAGCUCCUGCUGCAUGGUGGGGGUUGGAAAGUUUCGGCGGUUGGGGAUGGACUCGCGGCUUAUCAGCUUGUUGGUGGGGUAGUGGCUUACCAAGGCUUUGACGGGUAGCCGGCCUGAGAGGGUGACCGGCCACAUUGGGACUGAGAUACGGCCCAGACUCCUACGGGAGGCAGCAGUGGGGAAUAUUGCACGAUGGGCGGAAGCCUGAUGCAGCAACGCCGCGUGCGGGAUGACGGCCUUCGGGUUGUAAACCGCUUUCGCCUGUGACGAAGCGUGAGUGACGGUAAUGGGUAAAGAAGCACCGGCUAACUACGUG
rnacentral:rRNA from 1 species